rnacentral:lncRNA from 1 species
UGCAAGAAGGAGGCGGCGGCGGCGGCGGCGGCGGCCGGAGCUGGAGGGGGAGGAGGGGAGGAACCUGAUCCUCGGUAGCGAAGGGCUGGAGGCAAACACCGAGCUCCCCCUGAGCCGCCUGGGAGCAGGGAGGGUUCUGCUACCCUGAGGUGCCCUCCCCGCGGGGCAGAGGGGUUUCCUCAGCAGUGCCCCAGAGCAGGGACUGCGCCAGCCGGCAGAAACAGCUAGUUCUUGUCUGCAGUGAAGAAUAAUUGGAAGCAUGGUGCCUGUUUCUUUUCCUGUGGGAGGAAGUCACAGCAUGUGCUUCUGAACCUGUGCUUGCCUUGAGGAACAACGGCAUGACACGGGGAUGUGGACGCUUUCAACCAGAAGAUUCUGUACGAUAGUGUCGGCACACAAGGAGUGUUCCGCUGACUGACCUCUUUUUGUUUUCAAAUGAAGAGGAGCCAAGAAUAGGACAGCUUGGGAAGCUCAUCCUCGUCUACGGCCAAACGUUGGUUUCUCAUUUCUAGAAUGAAAGAUGUGAUGACUUAGGGAAAACUGGGAUCUUAGUAACUGUGGUGGGCACUGAGCCUUGCCGUCCACAAGAGAAAGCUUGCUGCUCGAGAUGUGAGUCUUCAGAUGUUCCUGCCGCCAUAUCUGACAGCUGCUGCCAAGAUUCCCUGGUGGGAUGGACUCUUAUACCUCGACAACCAGAAGCCCAAGUAAACUCUUCUAUAAAUUGAAUGACUCAUGCUUAAAAAA